UAGAGCGGCGCCGGCAUGCUCAGCGGAGGAGGCGGAGCGGAGGCUUUUGGAUGACUAAGAUGUUGCUGACACAGAAAGGAGGAAAGGCUGGGGCUUUACAUCAGCAAUCCUGGACUGCUUAAGCUACAGAAAGAAGACCAGAAAUACUUUGGAACCAAUGUGCUCAUGGAUUACAGAGUAGAGGAAGGUGCUGACAGGUUCAUUACUGAUAAUAUUUGUAGAGUUUUUUAACCAAAGUCAUGUUUGUAGCAUUGACAGUGUUCUUUCCUGGAUGACACCACCACUAAAUAAAUAAAUAAAUAAAGAUACAAAAUGCAA